rnacentral:rRNA from 1 species
AUUGAACGCUGGCGGCAUGCUUUACACAUGCAAGUCGAACGGCAGCGCGGGCUUCGGCCUGGCGGCGAGUGGCGAACGGGUGAGUAAUGCAUCGGAACGUGCCCAGUAGUGGGGGAUAGCCCGGCGAAAGCCGGAUUAAUACCGCAUACGACCUGAGGGUGAAAGCGGGGGACCGAAAGGCCUCGCGCCAUUGGAGCGGCCGAUGUCGGAUUAGCUAGUUGGUGGGGUAAAGGCUUACCAAGGCGACGAUCCGUAGCUGGUCUGAGAGGACGACCAGCCACACUGGGACUGAGACACGGCCCAGACUCCUACGGGAGGCAGCAGUGGGGAAUUUUGGACAAUGGGGGCAACCCUGAUCCAGCCAUGCCGCGUGCGGGAAGAAGGCCUUCGGGUUGUAAAACGCUUUUGUUCGGGAAGAAAUCCUCUGGGCUAAUACCCCGGGGGGAUGACGGUACCGGAAGAAUAAGCACCGGCUAACUACGUG